rnacentral:hammerhead_ribozyme from 1 species
AGCCGAAACGGUCAGAAAUGACCGUCAGCCGGACAUGGCCCACCGGCUCUGAUGAUGGCAGGCCAGA